UGGGGCAGCUACGGCUAAAGCUAUCGGCGCCAUCUCGGCGUUGAGACACGUUUAGCCGGCGUAGUGUUAGCUGUUAGAGUGUGUUAACUCAGAGACUGGGGGCAGUGGAACCUGUAGGAACCUUUUAUACGGAGAGUAGACCCAGCAGCUUUCCACAGUCUACUUACUUACCACAUCUUGUUAGACAACAGGGUCAUUAGUGCUUUAAAUAGUACAUAGUUGAAUGUUUCAUUGCUGUUUGCAGUUGAUUGUUCUCUGAUAACGCAUAACAAAGUUGAUGUUAAAUAGCGAGUUUAUUGAAAUGGGUUUGUCUAUUUCAGCAGCGUUUUAAAUAUCAUACUUUCUCUGGUGUCUUCAGUAAAGCUAAAACAAGAAUACAUUUACAUCCUUGGUUCUUUCAGUAUUAAUUGGAAAACUUUGUUGAGAUUUGCUGUUAUAUGAAAAAAAUGUUUUAUGUGCAGAAAAUCUGAUAGGAAUUCUUCUAUUGGAGAUGUGGAUUUGGAUUCAAAAGUGCUGGACAUUCAGCGUCAUCACCCAAAUGCCGACUGCAGAAUGAUGAUGGGACAUCUACGAUCCAGAGGCAUAUACAUUCAAAGAUUUCGACUGAUGGAUUCAAUGAGACGAGUCAAUCCAGAAGGGGUCAAGAUGCAACGGUUAUCUAUUAAGACUGCAAGGCGUUUUCAGUACAGUGUACCAGCAGCAAAUCACCUUUGGCAUAUAGAUGGAAAUCAGCAUUGAGCGCCUGUGGAGGGAUGUAUAUGAAAACAUCUUCACCCAGCUGGAGAUUCAAGGACUGCUCAACCCUGGUGAAAAAAUUCACUUGUUUGCUCUGCACAGAUGCUUUUUGCAUCACAUUCAACAUCAUCUUCAGUCAUUCCAGGAAGCAUGGAAUCAGCACGGACUCAGAAAAGCAAACAACCAUUCACCCCUGCACCUCUGGUUGCUGCACAGAAAGGAGGGACAAGAUUUGUCACAGGUUGAUGAGGAUUAUGGUGUGGACUGGACAGGACCACAUAAUCACCGCCCAUCAAAUGAGAUCACCAUUCCUGAGAUUCAGCUCCCACGUGCACUGAAUGAACGAGACCCUGCUGUGCUACCAAA